rfam:Triticum aestivum genome assembly, contig: Triticum_aestivum_CS42_TGACv1_scaffold_129346_2BL
GUAAUACUCCCUCCGUUCAGAAUUACUUGUCGUCGAAAUGGAUGUAUGUAGACGUAUUUUAGUUCUAGAUACAUCCAUUUCCGAGACAAGUAAUUCCGAACGGAGGGAGUACCUU